UUAGUGCGAAAUUUUGGUGUUCAUGAAGUACUAGACCAAAAAACUAUAAUAUUUUUGUAUAAUAAUACCUUGUACUCUACUACAAAUCGAAAAUCAAGUUCUCCGCUAGUUGCUAUGAGAAACAAACUACUAUUAUGCAAAUAUAAACAAGAAAAUUACCGAUUCUGGUGGGAAAAUUAAUCUUUUGAAUUUGCCGAGUGGACGAAGGAGCCCCAAUGACGUGCACAUUAGACGACAUAUAAAGAUUUCAGCUUGUCAUUUCCCACCAGGUGCGCCAUUGCUGCGACUCAGUGAGCCUAGGGCAAGCCGUUCCUGUGAUGCACGAUUUCUAGCUACUUUGGAACAUUAUUCAAUUUUCUUUUUAUUUUAGAGUUCACGUAACACCAGGAUAACCUUCAGUAUGAUCCGAAAUUCCGCGGGGUACGAGUUAAAAAUCUGAAUAUUUGUGCUAUGCAACCUCUCUAGAUGCGUGAAAAUUUAGGUCCAAAAAGCCAUCCUGAUCGUACCAUGUUCUGCUUAUUAAAAUUGAAAAGUAUAUUACUUAAAAUAUUAAGAUAGAAAAUUGAA